AUUGAACGCUGGCGGCAGGCUUAACACAUGCAAGUCGAGCGGAGAUGAGGUGCUUGCACCUUAUCUUAGCGGCGGACGGGUGAGUAAUGCUUAGGAAUCUGCCUAUUAGUGGGGGACAACAUUCCGAAAGGAAUGCUAAUACCGCAUACGUCCUACGGGAGAAAGCAGGGGAUCUUCGGACCCUGCGCUAAUAGAUGAGCCUAAGUCGGAUUAGCUAGUUGGUGGGGUAAAGGCCUACCAAGGCGACGAUCUGUAGCGGGUCUGAGAGGAUGAUCCGCCACACUGGGACUGAGACACGGCCCAGACUCCUACGGGAGGCAGCAGUGGGGAAUAUUGGACAAUGGGGGGAACCCUGAUCCAGCCAUGCCGCGUGUGUGAAGAAGGCCUUAUGGUUGUAAAGCACUUUAAGCGAGGAGGAGGCUACUGAGACUAAUACUCUUGGAUAGUGGACGUUUCUCGCAGAAUAAGCACCGGCUAACUCUGUGCCAGCCGCCGCAGUAAGAC
rnacentral:rRNA from 1 species